rnacentral:rRNA from 1 species
GUUUACUAAAAUAAGUAUGAUAUUUUCCCGGAAUAGAAGUGAGCUAAACAUUUAUACUUUUAGAGGAAAUGCGUAGUAUAGUAUUUAAUAAUAGGUGUUUAGUGGUGAUAGGCUUACCAUACUUCUUGAUAGCUUGAUGUGUAAGAAAAAUAUUAAGUAUAAAGUCAUAUCAAUAAAGCUAAGCUUGUUGGUUACCAUGAAAGUUGAUGUUGAACUACAAUAUAGUGUAAGAACUGAUUAGUAUGACUACUCAAUAUCUAAUACAUAUUAUUACGGUAAGUAUUACACUGUUACUACUUUUUUUAUAAUUAAUAAUGUAAAUAUGAGUAGUUUUAUAUUAAAUAUUUUUAAGGAACUCGGCAAUAUGUUGUUCAACUGUUUAUCAAAAACAUAACUAUAUGAAAUAAUAUAUAGCUUUUCCUGCUCAAUGGUUAACUAAAUAGCCGCAGUACUCUGACUGUGCAAAGGUAGCAUAAUCAAUUGGCUUUUAAUUAGAGUCUGGCAUGAACGGAACCAUGGAUAACAGCUGUCUUAAAUGUACUAAAAUGACAUUAGUAAAUAAGUGAAAAUACUUAUUUAAAAAUAAAAGACGAGAAGACCCUAGAAGCUUAGAAUAUUAUUUUGUUGGGGCGACAGAAUUACAUAUAACUAAUUUUAUAUAUACUUGAAGUCAUUCGGAUAGAUAAAGCUACUCUAGGGAUAACAGCAUAAUUUUAAUUAGUUUGUGACCUCGAUGUUGGACUAGGUAUGUUAUCCUUUAGAAGAGGAUAACAAAUGCUCUGUUCGAGCAUAGGCACCUACAUGAUCUGAGUUCAGACCGG